CUUUGUUUUAUGUUUUGACUUACAAGAAAAAAUUUUUUAGAUGUAUUGUGUAGUAAAUUCCACAACAGGUAUUUUGAGGGAUCGGUUCUGUUUUUGAGGGACUGUUUACUGCCACUCCUAGUGAAAAUUUACUGUCAAACUAAACAAAACACAGAAUGAUGAUUUUGUGUAUUUAAAUUUGUAUUGAAUGUGUAUAUAAAACAGCCCACAUACCUUUAAUUUAAAGUCUGCUAUCUUCAUGCUGGCUUACUACUCAAGGCAUAUAUUCUUUAUCCUCUGAAAAAAAGUCUAUUUCUGCAGUUUACUGAGUUACAAUUGUUGUGACAGUUUUAUAGUACAAAGUCUUAGCUUGUGUCUGGCUUUAUCCUUGGUCAUUAAAUUGAGGAGACAGAUGUGCAACCGUCUGCUAUGUGGCAAUAAAUUUCAGUUCCAUGUUUUUCAUCGUCAUACUUCUAAUCCAAAUAAUCCAUUAGUUCUCCACUGAGUUUCUUACUUUCGUAUUUUUCCCAUUCAUUGGCAUGCCACUGUUGGCCCCUGGGUUCCGCUCACUUUAGAGCUGAGUGACGACGUCUCAUCACUGGUUUUAUUCCGGCCCCGCCGACAGACCACGCUUGUGAAAUCCCAUCUGGCGUUAAUUUCCAUCGACAUUAUCGCCGCUGUCUUUAUCGUCCCCAUCGCUGGUCUUCUUGGAAGUGAAAGCAUCGCCGGCAGCUGCGCAUCAUCAGCAAAUUAGCAUCACUACAGUUUACGAGCCUGUCAGGAAUGAGCAAAUACUGCUUGAGAUGCAACGCACAGUUUUUAAAAACUCUGACGGCCCUGUUUCAGAGCAGCUUCUUUGCACUCACAGGUCACAGCUUAAAGUACACAUGGACAAUCUAUCCAUUUUCUUUAGAACAUUUCACGUGUGUAAGCAUUCGGCCCAAAGUUACUUCUGUGUGGCAUCCAUCCAUCCAUUUUCCAUUUCACAUAUCCCUCACAAGGGCCGCGGGGGGUGCCGAAGAUUAUCUCAACUGUUUUCGGGCAAUAGGCGGCGCACCCCGUGAACUGGUCACGGCCAAUUGCAGGGCAUAACUCGAUUAAUAACCAUUCGCGCUCACCCUCACAUAAUUUAGAGUGUUCCAUUAACCUGUCAUGUAUGUUUUUGGAAUCUCGGAGCCGGAAUCGACCCCUGCACCUCCGCACUGUGAGGCGGACGCGGUAACCAGUCGACCAUUGUGCCACUCCUGGGUGGCAUAAAAGUAAAAGAUUUACGACUGCUGGCCUGAACUGAAACUGGUAAAAACCUGCUUGCUGUCUUGCCACCAAAUGGUGCCGCUUUUUUUUUUCCUUCCCCCAAAAAUAUGAAACAAUCAGCGUAACCUGUGGUUAAGAAGGAUAAAUUGAAUGGAUGUAAUUCGAGAAAACUGCAACAUUGCCUUGUGGUAGACAGAAUCAGACACUUCUAAAGAGACAGACUAGUACAAAACCUCCGUCAUCGGGUUUGCAGAAGGCAUUUCCUCAUAUCUAUGUACAAAAUGUUUGGUGAGGUUGUCUUUGAGGAAUGUAGCAAUACGUAAUGGCUAGGCCAGACCUGACCCAUUUGUUUUAACCUGGAAAAAUAAGUGCGCCAGCAGCAAGAUCGCCUUCCAAUCCAUAUAUUCAGCAAUUUUCAUGAUGAAUUUCUGAUUAUUUAGAAUGUGGGAAAGAAACGCAGACUGGUAAUGUGACACGGAUGUCGCGCCGUGUGGUGCCUGUCGAGCUAUUUGAACAGAGUCAUACGUAGUCAUGGAAAGAUUUUGAUUGUGAUGUAUUAAAAACAAUUAGCAGAACCAACAAACAUAAUGACAUUGGAAUGUGAGCCAUAAUAACAGCGGAUAUUGUUAAUUUUUUGCAUCAGGGUAACUGAAGAAGACAGAUCACUAUGGCAAUUACUUAAUAGAGGAGGAUAAUGAAAUGCCUCCCUCCUGAAUUUCCCAUAACACUCCAAAAAGAUAGAUAUCUAGAGAGAUAAUUUGUUAAACAUGUAAGCUUCAUCAUUAUGGCAAAAGGAUAAAAAAAAAUAAUAA